CUCCCCACCUCUGCUGUAGACUGUGAACCGAGCAACGAUUUUUUUUAAGCAAAUGUUUAUUCGCCUUUCUCUUAGGCAGAACUGGUGUACGCUCGGGGCUCUGCAUUUUGCGGAAUCACGCUGACUUGCAGCUUCGAUGGUUGCUAAAAUGUAGCGUCACCUACCUGGCAUCAGCGAGAAAGCCCGGCUCGGCGCAGGCUCAGUGCUCACCGCCGCAGUCCCGGACGGAGGAGGGGGGCUCGGGAGCUCAGCAUCUUCGCAGCGGGUUAAGUAGGAUUAAUACCAAAUCCCUAUUAUAUUUGCCAAGCAACUUGAAUUUAUCAAAAUUCCCCCUCGCUGUUCUGGAGCUUCGAGAGGAGGAAAUUUUGCCCACAUUGUAAGAUCCAGACAUACCAGUACGUAGGGAAUACCAGCAUACUGCAUUACACCGGCUCCCCGCACUAGCAAUACAAUUGCAGCCCGAAGCUCCCCCUGCUCCCUUCCCUUUGUGCUUUUAAACGUAGCCAGGAAACCUAAUGUAUUCGACAAGGGAGGGGCGGGAUGAAAGCGCUUUUAACCUCCCCGUCAUAAACUUUAAUCGGAUUCCGGGCUGUUGCACGACAUGGGCUCCUCGCCUCUUCUCUGCGUCUCCUUCCCCCUUGUCUCCCAUUUCUACUACGGUCUGCUUUGCGAGAGCCUUUUCCAAGCAAAUGAGUGAUUUCUUUCUCUUGCCAUGUGCAAUCUCUCCUCCCUCCCCUUCCUACCCUCUCUGUCCUCUCUUACACACACUAUGUCUUUCACAUGCGGUUUGCGCUCCCCAGCCCCCUCCGUUUUUUCUCUUUUGCAGUGUCUUCGCAUGCAAUCUCUCUCUGAAUGUGCAAUGUCUUUCCUGCUCGGGAGUGCUGCGUCCUUCACAGUGGAUUGGUUCCUCUUUCGGAGCAGAGAUCAUGGGAAAAGAGAAAAGCAGUCAAAUAUUGUGAUAAUACUGGAAGCCUGCAGAAGCUGGUUGAUAAUGUCUUUCUGAUAUGAAAUGAAAAAACUCAAAAUUCAGAGCAUACCCCAUGUGCUUUGUCUAGUACACUACAGCUCUUGUUCAGGCCUGUGAACUUCUGCAUACAUGGCUGAACUGUAGCUGAACUUCAAUAGGAAGGGUAGACCUGAGAAACUGAUUUUAAUAUCUCCAGCCUACUACCUGCUGAACGAUUUGACUUACACGGGGAAAUUUUUACAGAUGUCAUGUUCUGAUGCUGGCUGAUCCUGUGUUUGGAAGCCAACCAGAGAUCAUGAUUAGGAUUGUGAAUCUUCUUGAGCUUAUUACAAUGACAUGAUGAAGAACAGAAGAACAUCUUCAGCCAGAUCUAAAUCAAUUUAUGCAACUUUGUACUGCAAAGGAAGGGAAAGUCUCUGCGCAGCCUUGAGCUUCUUUCUGACUAAUGAUGCUGUGCUUACAUCAAAUUGAAAUGGGCUUCCCAGAAGUCAAAUUUUUGAAAAGGUUUUCUCAAGUCUGGAGAAAGGUGGAAAGUACUAACAUUUGGGACAUUCUUACCUGAUUUAAACCACAGGUGAAAAUAAAUAUAUCCAGGCUGGAUGAAGACGAUUCCAUCAAUAUUAAUCAAAUCAAGAUAACGAAUCUUUCCAGGAGUUGGACUCGAUGAUCCUUGUGGGUCCCUUCCAACAGGGGAUAUUCUAUGAUUUUAUUGAGUUUCCACAUCCUUAUUGAUGUCACCUGACUCAAUACUGUUUUCAAUUACAUGAAUGCUGGCUAUGUUUUCCAAAGGAUUCCUGUCUUGUUCAUUGCAGAGGAUUGUUCAAUAUAUGGUCCAUGUCUUAUUCAAUUCACACUAGCGAAAUCCUGCUGUGAACAGAAAAUGCCAAACAGGUGAAACAGCAGAGUGAGCACCAAGGACAGAGAAGGAGGAGGAGGUGCUCCAGGUACUGGAGCAGAUGUCCACACUGGAACCUGUUCAGGACCCCAUGCUGGAGCAUGUUAAACCAUAAUACACUGACCAUAACCCCUUGCCCCUGUGCACCACUCAGAGGUGGGGUACAGUGUGCCCCACCUGGUGCCUGGUGUGAAUGAGAGAUGUCUGGAUUGUGAGUGGAGAGGAAAGGUGUUGUGAUGUUUGUUCUUGUUUCUCACUACACAAAUCUAUUUUAAUUAGCGGUAAAUUAAAUUAAUUUUUCCCAAGUCAAAUUUGUUUUGCCUGAGAUGGUAAUUGGUAAGCAAGCUCCCUGCCUUUAUCUCAAUCCAUCCGCUUUUUAAUCCUAUUUUUUUCCCCCUGUCCUCUUGAAGACGGACAGUGAGCAAGCAGCUGGGUGGCUCACCUCAGAGCACUGUCUUCAGUGCCUCAGUUUUUCUUUGUGGCAAUAUCCUCAUUCUCUCUCACAUCUUCUGCUUAUUUCUUGAGAACUUCUGCAUCAGUAAUCAAAAAAGAAGAGCAAGGAGUAUCCCAUAUUAAAAUCUCUCAGGAGAACAAUUGUCUGAAGUCAGCAGGGGUUGAGCAGAGCAUAAAUAACACUUUGCUAAUCCUUAAUCCUCUCUUCUCCUCCCCUCCUGCAAACCCCUUCUAUAGUGGGUCUGUUCAGCCUCUCCAGUACUAAUGCUGCACAACAAGGCAGCAUCAGUUAACCUUUUCAGGCAUGCUGCAGCAUUUGCAGAUUGUAACAUUUUGUAAAAUAUUGUUCCCAGAGUAGUUCUGUGUAUCCUCAGUGUGCAUUUCUGCCAUUUGCAAAGUAAUGUGAGUAUGGCAGAAAGUGGAUAUGCCACAUAAAGAAAUGAUUUCCUACAAAACUACAAAAUAAAAAAAAAAAAUCAUUAGAUUAAGUACACAUGCAUUUCACAUAGCCAAAUGGUUAUAAUUAUAUAUAUUUUUAAUUUAAAUGUUUGUCCUCCAUGGAGAACUGCAAACUCUGUAAUUGCAAACAUCGUGUAGUCAGCAGCUGGUUCAGUCUCCAAGCUCACUUAGUCCUUGGCAUCUUUGUUCAAGCUGCAAGAGCAAAAGUAAUGCAGAGUCCAUUAAUGUCAACUGCGAUGUUGUUCUUUUGGUAUUGCAAAUGUAUAUGCUGAGAUCAGAACAACCCAUAGCUUUCUUGGAACUCAUUGAACUAUACUGGCUUUGAUCAUGAACUAAAGGUCAUGGUACUAUGGAACUCAGCACUAACUCACUACCACUUCAUUCCACUUUUCUAUGAUUUCGUUAUGAUAAAAGGUCUUAUUUGAAAAAAGUGUUCUCUUUGUCAGUGGAUUUGACUUCUUCUUUCUAAGCAACCAGAUCUACCAUUUUGCUUACAUUUUCCUUCCCUCACAAGGGGUUUAGUAAAUUACAUCAGAAAAAAAAGACCAAACAGACCAAGUAAGAAGCUAUUAGUGUAACUAGUGAUCAAAUAAAAUUCAUUAUUAGUUUUGGUUCUAAUUUGCUCAAAAUUUCUUCCAGUGUCUGCAGAACUGAAGCUAAGAUAAUAACUUAGUUUUCUGCAGUCUUCAGGUCCGCAGGCAGGAACUUCUGCUGAGUUGGAAGUUCUUUAUGUCUCUCAAAGGUUCUCUUAUAGGAAUGGAUUAUAGCAGACAUACAAGCUGAGUACUAGUUGAUGCCUGUUAUAAAAGAGGAUUAAAAAUGAUGGUGGCUUCAAAAGCUAGCACCACCAGCAAAGGACAACUGAAAAAGGAGCAAAGAAGUGGCUGUAGCAAUUGAAAAUUCCAUUGGAUAUUAUUACUAUUGAUACUAGAGCAUAGGUAUCACACUUCACAAAUUGCUCAUUAUCACUGACUUCUUGUAACCAGAAGACUCUAAUGCACAGUCUCUAGCCACUUUACUCACUCUUAACAAAGCUAGAAAAAAAGACCCUCAAAUAGCAGCUGAAAAACAAUUUUCCAUAUCAGCUGGAAAAAAAAAAAAAAAAAGAAAAAAAGAAAGAAAAAAGAGGAUUCAACUCAUUGGUGCUGCAGUUACAUGCUUGAACAACUUUUGGGACAGAGGAAUGCUGUACACGAAUUCAGAAACAAGUAGAAAAUAGAGAGGGCAGAUGUUACACUAACCUCUGUCCAUUAGAAUCUGAUAGGCAGUUUGUUUUCCCCCUUUUUGACCAGAUAAUAUUGCCUCCAGGGAAAUCAUUAUGAACAAUGCAUCUUUAAGCCAGAUGUUGGCACACAUUGGAUAUCUAUACUUUGGAGAUAAAAUGAGUUCUGUUGAAAAACAAAAUUGAUGUUGAUUCUGCUGCUGAUGUACAACAAUAAGUAGAAGUUUGUGCAUAAAUAUACAUACAAUACAUUUGCACAUAAAUACAGAUAUGGUCCAGUGAUAAGAAAUGCCUUAAUACAUGUUUGAAUUAUUAUUUUAAAUAUAACAUUUAUUUCUUCUUUUCACAAUCCUUUUACUGACUUCCUCCACAUCAUGCUUUUAAUACAUAUACUGAACAACAACAACAAAAAUGGAUUUCUGUUCUAAUGGAAAACAUUCUAUAGAUUUUUACCCCAGAACCUUCUUCAGCUUGUGAAUUAGCAUCUGAAUUGAAUUAUUCUUGGUGGUUUCUCUGCAGUUUCUCUGUUGCUGAAAUAAACUAGCAAUGAGAAAUUUUAUGAGCUUUAUUUGUCUGACAUGUCAAAGCAAUGCAAUCAGAACAAACAAUAACAAAACACUUAUUUCUACAGUCUUAUGCAACCCUUGAAAAAAAUCAUCUCUACUGUCUCCUUAAACAGUUUAAUCUUACCUAUAUUCAUUUGUGGUGUAUGAGAUGAGUGGAGGAGUUUUUUCUUAUUGUUCUAGAGCUUUGAAAUCAGGAUCAUGAAUCUAAUGAAAACAAAACUAGAGACAAAAAGAUAUAAAUAAGGAAUAUUUCAUGUUCUUUGACUCAUGUUCCUGAUUCAUUUCAUAAAUCCGUUCAAUGAGAAGGGAUUUGAGAACCUAAAACCUAAAAAGAAGCUUCAACAGCCUAGGACUGUCUAGCUAGAAGGGCAUAA